AGUGAGGAAUAUUGGUCAAUGGGCGCAAGCCUGAACCAGCCAUCCCGCGUGCAGGAAGACGGCCCUAUGGGUUGUAAACUGCUUUUCCAGGGAGAGAAACCUGCGCACGUGUUGCGCAAUUGACGGUACCCUGGGAAUAAGCAUCGGCUAACUCCGUGCCAGCAGCCGCGGUAAUACGGAGGAUGCAAGCGUUAUCCGGAUUCAUUGGGUUUAAAGGGUGCGUAGGCGGACUAUUAAGUCAGUGGUGAAAGCCUGCAGCUUAACUGCAGAACUGCCAUUGAUACUGAUAGUCUUGAGUUUGGUUAAGGUAGGCGGAAUGUGUAAUGUAGCGGUGAAAUGCUUAGAUAUUACACAGAACACCAAUUGCGUAGGCAGCUUACUGAGCCGACACUGACGCUGAGGCACGAAAGCGUGGGGAUCGAACAGGAUUAGAUACCCUGGUAGUCCACGCCGUAAACGAUGAUUACUCGCUGUUGGCGAUACACUGUCAGCGGCUAAGCAAAAGCAAUAAGUAAUCCACCUGGGGAGUACGGCCGCAAGGUUGAAACUCAAAGGAAUUGACGGGGGCCCGCACAAGCGGAGGAACAUGUGGUUUAAUUCGAUGAUACGCGAGGAACCUUACCUGGGCUUAAAUGUAGAGUGCAUUUUCUAGAGAUAGGAAUUCCCUUCGGGGCUUUCUGCAAGGUGCUGCAUGGUUGUCGUCAGCUCGUGCCGUGAGGUGUCGGGUUAAGUCCCAUAACGAGCGCAACCCUUAUCGUUAGUUGCCAGCUGGUAAAGCAGGGGACUCUAGCGAAACUGCCACCGUAAGGUGAGAGGAAGGUGGGGAUGACGUCAAAUCAGCACGGCCCUUAUGUCCAGGGCUACACACGUGUUACAAUGGUCGGUACAGAGGGCAGCUACCUGGUGACAGGAUGCUAAUCUCCAAAACCGGUCUCAGUUCGGAUCGAAGUCUGCAACUCGACUUCGUGAAGCUGGAUUCGCUAGUAAUCGCGCAUCAGCCAUGGCGCGGUGAAUACGUUCCCGGGCCUUGUACACACCGCCCGUCAAGCCAUGGAAGCUGGGGGUGCCUGAAGUCCGUAACCGUAAGGAGCGGCCUAGGGUAAAACUAGUGACUGGGGCU
rnacentral:rRNA from 1 species